rnacentral:rRNA from 1 species
AUUGAACGCUGGCGGCAGGCCUAACACAUGCAAGUCGAACGGUAACAGGAAACAGCUUGCUGUUUCGCUGACGAGUGGCGGACGGGUGAGUAAUGUCUGGGAAACUGCCUGAUGGAGGGGGAUAACUACUGGAAACGGUAGCUAAUACCGCAUAACGUCGCAAGACCAAAGAGGGGGACCUUCGGGCCUCUUGCCAUCGGAUGUGCCCAGAUGGGAUUAGCUAGUAGGUGGGGUAACGGCUCACCUAGGCGACGAUCCCUAGCUGGACUGAGAGGAUGACCAGCCACACUGGAACUGGGACACGGUCCAGACUCCUACGGGAGGCAGCAGUUGGGAAUAUUGCACAAUGGGCGCAAGCCUGAUGCAGCCAUGCCGCGUGUAUGAAGAAGGCCUUCGGGUUGUAAAGUACUUUCAGCGGGGAGGAAGGGAGUAAAGUUAAUACCUUUGCUCAUUGACGUUACCCGCAGAAGAAGCACCGGCUAACUCCGUGCCAGCAGCCGCGGUAA